rnacentral:misc_RNA from 1 species
UGUGCUGUCUGACUAGUGACGCC